UCUCUCUCUCACGUAUGGAUCUGGCAGUUCUAGAUUCCACCUGCAGUCCAAAGACAUACAGUGAGGCUGAUGGGUAUGUCCAAAGUGCCUGGAGGGUGGUUUGCCCCAUGAUGGUCCCGGGUGAACCCAGCUUUGUGCCCUGUGUUGCCUGAUAGACUCUAGUCCAGUCUGUAGUGCUGCACUGUAUUCCGUGGUAGGAAGGAAGAAGUGGGGUUUGGUUAGGCUUCAGAAAUAUUGCAUAGAGGUUAUAAAAAAACGCAGCCUUGCACAGAUGGCACAGAAGGGUGCAGGGGCAUGUCAGAUGAGCCGUGGUACCUCCUCAAUGCCAGUUCUAGUGACCAGUUAUCAAGCCCAGUCAAGCGGGCAGAGAGGAAAUUAUUCUUAUUCCUCCAUAAAAGUUGGUGCUCUCCUCCAUGCAUGGAUGGAUGGAUGAUUGCAGGAGCCCGACCAUGACCUGUAGCAGCAGCGUUUGUCACCACUCAAAUCACACGUUUGCCUGUGGCCCCCUGUUGGCCAGAAGCAGUUACUACACUAAAUAUUAUGUAUACACAUUCCAUCCAUCCAUCCAUCCAUUUUCCAAACCGCUUAUCCUACUGGGUCGCGGGAGGUCCGGAGCCUAUCCCGGAAGCAAUGGGCACGAGGCUGGGAACAACCCAGGAUGGGGGGCCAGCCCAUCGCAGGGCACACUCACACACCAUGCACUCUCACAUGCAUUCCUAUGGGCAAUUUAGCAAGUGCAGUUAGCCUCAGCAUGUUUUUGGACUAUGGGGGGAAACCGGAGUACCCGGAGGAAACCCCACGGCGACAUGGGGAGAACAUGCAUGGCUCUCAGCGGAGGCGGUCGCACUUCUCUCCCUCUCCCUCCCCUUAUCUUCCCUGCUUCGCUCCUCUCGUCUCGUCUAGUCUACUGUCUUAUACUUGAGAGACUCUCUCAGCCCUGCUCUCCAAACUACGUAAAACGAUGGAUUUGAUCAGCUGGUCUCUCAACGCAAUUGACACCAUCUUCUCGAUGAGAAGCCUAGGUUCGGGGGAACCUGUCUGGCAGGAACGUAUGCUGCUGGCUACACGAUGGACGGAUGGGAGCGGUGGAGGGUCGUGUGCCUGGCAGCUCUUUCCGUGGAGGACAUUGAAGACAUCUACCUAUUCGGAACCAUGAUUACAGGCCUGGGGGCUGAAGCUAAUUCAGUGGUAAAGACAUGAGCUCGUCUCUUGGAGGUCGACGUGAGGAGGUCUGCACUGGAAAAGACCACACUGAGACCAAACAGCUGUCUCCCUUCCUCCAUCUCUGAGCUACAGGAUGGUAUGUGUCACCUAACCUCUGCACACUGCACGCAGUGAUUUGCAGUGAUUUGCAUAUGCCAUAGGAUGCUUGGCCCUUUGCCUCCUUCCUGAUCCAAACUUCUAGGGUCUCCAUGGGUAACCAGCAUCCUGAUGCCAUGAAGAGGGUGUUGAGGAAGAGGAGAAGCUUCAUGGUGUAGUAAUACCAGCCACAUUUAAAUCAACAUGUAGGAAAAAAAAUCACCUGAGCUGCAAAACACAUAGCAAUCCAGUGGAGGCGCUGUUUGGCUCAUUGAGUUUGGAUGCUAUGUCUAUGAUGGGAAGGUCACCUGUUCAAUGUCACUACUGGGCCCCUCCGUAAGGCCCUUAACCCACCGUUACUCCAGGCACUGUUUGGCCCUGCUUUCUCAAAAAUGUCGCUUUUUAUGAAAUUGUCUGUUAAAUCUAACAUUCAUUUAAUUGAUAGAAAUGUGCAUCACUGGUGAAAGGUAAGCAAGUACUUAACAGUGAUAAAUUCAGUGUCUUACUUUUAACAGGGUUCUAAAUACAUAUAUAAAGCAAGCUGUGAUUGGAAAGCAGUUCAUACCCAAAAUGGUACAAUGGCCAAAAAAAUCCAUCCGUCUGUGUCUGCACUCGUUCUGCCGUCUCAUUCGAAACCAAAGCGGGUCGUACCUCCCACUUCACCUGGUGUCAGUCAGAACCAUCCAUCCAUUUU